GGCGUGCUUAACACAUGCAAGUCGAACGAUGAAGCCCAGCUUGCUGGGUGGAUUAGUGGCGAACGGGUGAGUAACACGUGAGUAACCURCCCUUAACUCUGGGAUAAGCCUGGGAAACUGGGUCUAAUACCGGAUAGGAGCGCCYACCGCAUGGUGGGUGUUGGAAAGAUUUAUCGGUUUUGGAUGGACUCGCGGCCUAUCAGCUUGUUGGUGAGGUAAUGGCUCACCAAGGCGACGACGGGUAGCCGGCCUGAGAGGGUGACCGGCCACACUGGGACUGAGACACGGCCCAGACUCUACGGGAGGCAGCAGUGGGGAAUAUUGCACAAUGGGCGCAAGCCUGAUGCAGCGACGCCGCGUGAGGGAUGACGGCCUUCGGGUUGUAAACCUCUUUCAGUAGGGAAGAAGCGAAAGUGACGGUACCUGCAGAAGAAGCACCGGCUAACUACGUGCCAGCAGCCGCGGUAAUACGUAGGGUGCGAGCGUUAUCCGGAAUUAUUGGGCGUAAAGAGCUCGUAGGCGGUUUGUCGCGUCUGUCGUGAAAGUCCGGGGCUUAACCCCGGAUCUGCGGUGGGUACGGGCAGACUAGAGUGCAGUAGGGGAGACUGGAAUUCCUGGUGUAGCGGUGGAAUGCGCAGAUAUCAGGAGGAACACCGAUGGCGAAGGCAGGU
rnacentral:rRNA from 1 species